rnacentral:rRNA from 1 species
AUUGAACGCUGGCGGCAGGCCUAACACAUGCAAGUCGAGUGGUAUAGAGAAGCUUGCUUCUCUUGAGAGCGGCGGACGGGUGAGUAAAGCCUAGGAAUCUGCCUGGUAGUGGGGGAUAACGUUCGGAAACGGACGCUAAUACCGCAUACGUCCUACGGGAGAAAGCAGGGGACCUUCGGGCCUUGCGCUAUCAGAUGAGCCUAGGUCGGAUUAGCUAGUUGGUGAGGUAAUGGCUCACCAAGGCGACGAUCCGUAACUGGUCUGAGAGGAUGAUCAGUCACACUGGAACUGAGACACGGUCCAGACUCCUACGGGAGGCAGCAGUGGGGAAUAUUGGACAAUGGGCGAAAGCCUGAUCCAGCCAUGCCGCGUGUGUGAAGAAGGUCUUCGGAUUGUAAAGCACUUUAAGUUGGGAGGAAGGGCAUUAACCUAAUACGUUAGUGUUUUGACGUUACCGACAGAAUAAGCACCGGCUAACUCUGUG